GACGAACGCUGGCGGCGUGCUUAACACAUGCAAGUCGAGCGGUAGAGGGGGGCUUGCUUCCCUUGAGAGCGGCGGACGGGUGAGUAAUGCCUAGGAAUCUGCCUGGUAGUGGGGGACAACGUUCGGAAACGGACGCUAAUACCGCAUACGUCCUACGGGAGAAAGUGGGGGAUCUUCGGACCUCACGCUAUCAGAUGAGCCUAGGUCGGAUUAGCUAGUUGGUAGGGUAAAGGCCUACCAAGGCGACGAUCCGUAACUGGUCUGAGAGGAUGAUCAGUCACACUGGAACUGAGACACGGUCCAGACUCCUACGGGAGGCAGCAGUGGGGAAUAUUGGACAAUGGGCGCAAGCCUGAUCCAGCCAUGCCGCGUGUGUGAAGAAGGUCUUCGGAUUGUAAAGCACUUUAAGUUGGGAGGAAGUUCAGUAAGUUAAUACCUUGUUGAAUUGACGUUACCGACAGAAUAAGCACCGGCUAACUCUGUGCCAGCCGCCGCAGUAA
rnacentral:rRNA from 1 species